GGGGGGCUGGGCCACCCUGGAUCUGACUAUAAAUGGAUAAAAGAUGUCCCUUUAUGUUCAUAAUCAUGAUAAUGAGAAAAGGAAACAUGGAAAGGCUUGCAUAAUUUGGUAGACCAAACUUCCUCCGUUGACAACCGCAUAUUCAUUCAAAUCAUCAUUUGUACCUGUCCAAGUUUAUGUUGCAGCAUUUGGGCUUGUUUUCCCUUUGGACUUAGGAGGGACUAUGCGCCUAACAUACAUUUCAAUUAUAUAUCUGAUUCACGUUUCCCUCCAUGUUUACUUUCCAAAGGGUUCGGGGAGAUAACUUAGAUAAGAAU
rnacentral:lncRNA from 1 species